GACUACAGAGUAAUCCAAUUCCCACUUAGCCACUCUUUCCCUUAGCCCCCUGCCCCUCGAGGCCUCGAAGGCUCGAACCCAUAAAUCUCCGCCUCUCCGCCCUCUCUCUACCUCUCGUUUCGAUUCAAACCCAGAAAUCUCUGCCUCUCCUUCCUCUCGACCUCUCCUUUGAAGUUCAAUUCGAAUCAAACCCAGAAAAUCCCGUAUCAAUUCAUUCGAUUCAUGUCCUACGGCGGUGUUGCUCCAAUCUCAACAAUUCAAGGAAUCUGCUAAUUAAGGGAGGCUUAAACCUGGAGUAAUUUAGAAGAACAAUAGUUGGUCGGUUUGGAGGAAGAGCUAUAGGUACUCAACUGAAUUUGCAGAAACUGAGUCUUUGAGGGAGCAUAGUAAGGCAAGGCAGCAAGCAAAUAUGAAGUGAUGAUGACUUUGAGUCCUUGAACACUUUGUUUUCAACUAUUGUCCACUUUGUUAUUGUAUCAUUUGUGUGAACUGUGAACUGUGAACUUUGAAGUAUUGAAUUAGAAUUUGUAUGAACUAUGAAGUGAUGAUGAGAUCAUUAAGAUGAACUGAGCUGAUGAACUGAAGUUGA
rnacentral:lncRNA from 1 species